CUUGUCCCCGUACAAUCAUCGAAGUUAAACAACGUCGAGCCUGGUCAGUACCUAGAUGAGUGACCUCUUGGGAAUACCAGGUGCU